rnacentral:rRNA from 1 species
CGGGACGGGGUGGAGUAAUGUCUGGGAAACUGCCUGAUGGAGGGGGGUAACUACUGGAAACGGUAGCUAAUACCGCAUAACGUCGCAAGACCAAAGAGGGGGACCUUCGGGCCUCUUGCCAUCGGAUGUGCCCAGAUGGGAUUAGCUAGUAGGUGGGGUAACGGCUCACCCAGGCGACGAUCCCUAGCUGGUCUGAGAGGAUGACCAGCCACACUGGAACUGAGACACGGUCCAG